rfam:Gossypium arboreum cultivar AKA8401 contig_24558_5, whole genome shotgun sequence.
AGUAGGAGGAAGACAAAUCAGAUUUUUCCUCCUAAUUUUCAAUUUUUUUCCUCCUGAAAAUUUCAAAUACAACUGAAAAAGCUAAAAAUUUAGAGGAAAAUCUGAUUUGUCAUCCUCCUAUU